rnacentral:rRNA from 1 species
CAAUAGCGUAUAUUAACGUUGUUGCAGUUAAAAAGCUCGUAGUUGGAUUUUGGGUCGGGGGCACCGGUCCGCCGUUCCGGUGUGCACUGGUGGCCCCUUCCUUUCUGCCGGGGACGUGCGUCGCACUUAAUUGGGUGGCGUUCGGAGUCGGCGUUGUUACUUUGAAAAAAUUAGAGUGUUCAAAGCAAGCCAUCGCUCUGAAUACAUUAGCAUGGAAUAACAUGAUAGGACUCCGGUCUUAUUUUGUUGGUUUCCGAGACUGGAGUAAUGAUUAAGAGGGACAGUCGGGGGCAUCCGUAUUUCAUUGUCAGAGGUGAAAUUCUUGGAUUUAUGAAAGACGAACUUCUGCGAAAGCAUUUGCCAAGGAUGUUUUCAUUA